UCCAGACUCCUACGGGAGGCAGCAGUGAGGAAUAUUGGUCAAUGGCCGAGAGGCUGAACCAGCCAAGUCGCGUGAGGGAAGAAUGUCCUAAGGAUUGUAAACCUCUUUUGUCGGGGAGCAAAAAGGCUCUGCGGAGUCGUAUUGAGAGUACCCGAAGAAAAAGCAUCGGCUAACUCCGUGCCAGCAGCCGCGGUAAUACGGAGGAUGCGAGCGUUAUCCGGAUUUAUUGGGUUUAAAGGGAGCGUAGAUGGGUUGUUAAGUCAGUUGUGAAAGUUUGCGGCUCAACCGUAAAAUUGCAAUUGAUACUGGCAGCCUUGAGUACAGUUGAGGUAGGCGGAAUUCGUGGUGUAGCGGUGAAAUGCUUAGAUAUCACGAAGAACUCCGAUUGCGAAGGCAGCCUACUAAACUGCCACUGACAUUGAUGCUCGAAAGUGUGGGUAUCAAACAGGAUUAGAUACCCCGGUA
rnacentral:rRNA from 1 species